rnacentral:rRNA from 1 species
CCAAUGUGAACCAUACCAAACUGUUGCCUCGGCGGGGUCACGCCCCGGGUGCGUCGCAGCCCCGGAACCAGGCGCCCGCCGGAGGGACCAACCAAACUCUUUCUGUAGUCCCCUCGCGGACGUUAUUUCUUACAGCUCUGAGCAAAAAUUCAAAAUGAAUCAAAACUUUCAACAACGGAUCUCUUGGUUCUGGCAUCGAUGAAGAACGCAGCGAAAUGCGAUAAGUAAUGUGAAUUGCAGAAUUCAGUGAAUCAUCGAAUCUUUGAACGCACAUUGCGCCCGCCAGUAUUCUGGCGGGCAUGCCUGUCCGAGCGUCAUUUCAACCCUCGAACCCCUCCGGGGGGUCGGCGUUGGGGAUCGGGAACCCCUAAGACGGGAUCCCGGCCCCGAAAUACAGUGGCGGUCUCGCCGCAGCCUCUCCUGCGCAGUAGUUUGCACAACUCGCACCGGGAGCGCGGCGCGUCCACGUCCGUAAAACACCCAACUUCUGAAAUGUUGACCUCGGAUCAGGUAGGAAUACCCGCUGAACUUAAGCAUAUCAAUAAGCGGAGG